UUGUCAAAAUGUUACCAUUAUUGCUGGGAUUCUAAGAAAUCUCUACAAAUGCCUCUGAUGACAUCAGAAACAAUUGGUUCUAAUCCUGUGAACUCUCUUGUGAAGAAAGCAUGAGACUCCUUCGGUUUAGAAGCCAUAUCUUUCAGGUCAUCCAGAGGUGCCCAAGCCACACCAACAGAGAAGACAGUGAUUCCUACAAUGAAAACAUUUUAAAGUGAAUUAAAAAUCAGGUCUAGCUAAUAUAUGGAGUUAUGUCUAUAUGUUUUCCAUACAUUGUUACAUAGUUGCAGCGAAAACUGCUUACUAAUUUCUGGACAAUUAAAUCCCCUGAACAAAUAAGUUUUCACAGUCAUUGUGACAAAGGCGUGGCAAAAGAGUGGUCCAAACCAGAAACUCUGCUAUAUCUGUAACUCACCACAUUAACAGUGAAGGCAGAUGGUGAAAAUUUUCCAUAUGAGGUUGGCCUGCAUCAAACAGUAUACUGGAGUCAGAGUCACAAUCCAUUAAAGCAAGGAAGAAUGGCACAAGAGAUGGGAUAAAACAAGGACCUUACCUGCAUCAUGUGCAGCAGCUGCAGGGCCUUGGACAUCAUCAUAGGACUGCCCAUCUGUGACAAUUACUAGGAAGUUCUUGUUGGGGCUCUCCCUUAUAGGGCCAAACACAUUUCUAACAGUAAAGGAAAUGGCAUCACCAGUAGCUGUUCCACCACUCAUAUAGCGGAUGUUUCUGAUAGCAGCUAGGACAUUCUCUUUGGUGCUAUAGUCAGUGAAACUGAACUCUGUGCGCUGAUCAUAAGUAAACUGUACAGCAGCUAUCUUGGCACCAAUGUCCGAGAUUUCAAAAGUCUUGGCUAUGUUGGAAACAAAUUCAAGCAUGAGGCGGAAAUUGCUAUCUCCAACACUGCUGGAGCCAUCAAUUAGAAAGGCAAUGUUCACUGAGUUAUAACAGGUCUUGCUGCACAUCAUUUGUUCAUGAGUGCACAGCUUCUGUACCAGAGGCUUUACGUAUUUUGUGGUGCCAAACCAGUUGGGCAUGUGGUAAGAGAAGAAGCCAUUAUUCCGACAGACAGCCUAAUGGGGGAGACACAUAAAAGAUAUCCAAAAGGAUCAAAAGUUGUUUCUUCUUAAAAACAGGAAAAUCCUGAAUGUUACAAGUUAAUCUAAAUAACAGGCAGUCAGCACUGCACUUAGAGGUCCAAAACGGAAUACCCAUCACUGUAACAGAAGAUAACCCUCCCCACUUUACCUUGUCAACAAAUGUGACAUCCUGAACCAUCCCCAGCUCUUCAGGGAUAGGCUUGGCCACAGAAACUAUAAAUACAUUGACGCCAAACUCUCUGGCCACAAUGCCUGCUUCCUCGAUGUCAUCAGAAGGCCAACCGUCAAUAAAUACCACCACCACUUUGGGGAUCCCUUUUCUUACUCCAGCAUCUACCGUGAAGAAUUUCUGAGCAGUAUCAAAGUCUACUUACCUGUAUUGGAAUUACCCCCUCUGAAACCUACUUCCUUUAUGGCAAACAAAACAUCUUUGGCUGAUGUAAAGUUUUUCAAGUAAAAUUCUAUUUUGGGUUGUUCACUGAGUGGAAGAAAGAAAAUAUUAUUCAGGGAGAAUUAAAAAGAUGAGAAAAUUAAAGCCGUGGGGUUAAUUUGCCCAAACAACAUUCUACAACUCCCGAAGGACAGAAAACAGAAAAGUGAAUCCCUUCAGAGUAGAGCAUUUUUAUCUUAAUUAAACCUGAUUAUUUCUGCUCCAGAUCUGUCCAAAGAGAUUUAUCAAGCAGCGGAUGCAUUUUUGGAAAGCACUGUUAAUAUUCUCAAGUUUUACACUGUCAGCCUAACAAAGAAUCAAAGUUUUUGCUAUAAAUGAUGCUAGGAAGAGACAAGCUCUUGGCAACAAGUAACAAGAUAACAUAAUACAACAUGUUAAUUUGUGAAUUUACUGUCGAUACUAAAUUGAGAUUAAUGUUAUUAAAUGCUAUUUUUCAAACAUGGGAA
rnacentral:antisense_RNA from 1 species